rnacentral:rRNA from 1 species
CGGCAAUGGGCGCAAGCCUGACCGAGCGACGCCGCGUGGAGGAUGAAGGCCUUCGGGUUGUAAACUCCUGUCGAGGGGGAAGGAAGGGCCUCAAAACCUUGACUGAUCCCUGGAGGAAGCACGGGCUAAGUUCGUGCCAGCAGCCGCGGUAAGACGAACCGUGCGAACGUUAUUCGGAAUCACUGGGCUUAAAGCGCGUGUAGGCGGGGCGGCACGUCGGUCGCUGAAAUCCCCCGGCUUAACCGGGGAACGGCGCCGAUACGACCGUCCUGGAGGAACGUAGGGGGAGCUGGAACUUCCGGUGGAGCGGUGAAAUGCGUUGAGAUCGGAAGGAACGCCCGUGGCGAAAGCGAGCUCCUGGACGUUUUCUGACGCUGAGACGCGAAAGCCAGGGGGAGCGAAACGGGAUUAGAUACCCGGGUA